rnacentral:rRNA from 1 species
CACGUAGGGUGCGAGCGUUGUCCGGAAUUAUUGGGCGUAAAGAGCUCGUAGGCGGUUUGUCGCGUCGUCCGUGAAAACUCACAGCUUAACUGUGAGCUUGCGGUCGAUACGGGCAGGCUAGAGUUCGGUAGGGGAGGACUGGAAUUCCUGGUGUAGCGGUGAAAUGCGCAGAUAUCAGGAGGAACACCGGUGGCGAAGGCGGGUCUCUGGGCCGAUACUGACGCUGAGGAGCGAAAGCGUGGGGAGCGAACAGG